UUAAUAUGUGUCAUAUUUGUGUUAAUAAUGUAUUAUGUAAUGUACCUAAUGUAUUAUGUAAUGCAAUGUAUUAUAUUUGGAAUAUUGUAGCAAACAGUAAUUUAUUAUCUAUCGUGGCUGAAUGGAUCAAGUAAUCCAAAGCCAAUAAGGAAGAAAAAAAAAUAAAAAUUUGUGUUAAUAACUUAGAUGAGACAUACGGCGCAUUCGAAGACCAUUUUCACGCUUCGGGAGCCUUUAGUAGUUAUCAAUAUCCGCUGUUUAUGUCAUAACAUAAGAGUGUUACAUCCAACGAACUGUCAACACUGACAGUGUUGACAGUUCAUUGGUUACAUACGUCACUCGUACGACAAAGUCAAAUUUGACAGUUGUAUGUGGUUAUAUUUCCGUAUAUUUUUGUGGAAUUUUCUUAUAAUAUCGUUUAUUUGUUUAAUAUUUGUUGAGUUUUUAAGCAUAUAAGGACUAUAUUACUAUAAUUACUUAUUUGGGUCCUAUACAAAGGCAGUAAUGACUUGUGAAGUGUGUUUUCGUAACCGUGUAAGAUGAGUGGUGGUAACAUUUGUAGCAUAGCUAUAUGUAACAGCAACUCCAAAAUUCCUGAACCAGAUGGAAACAAAAUAAUGUUUUUGGACAUUUCCCAAAUACCUUAACAUUAUCAAACAAUAAUGGAUAAUAAAAUGUUACAAGAUAAAUGGGCCUCUAAACAUAAGAAAAUAGGUAGCAAACAUUUCCUCGUGUCUGAAUAUGUUAAUAUUAUGUUACGUCUUUUUUAUAUUUUAACCUAAUAAUAAAUUAUUUAUAUUA